GCCUGGCGGGAGCAGCGCGUGGUGCGCCGGAGCUCGCCCGCCUCCCGGCGUGGACAGCUGGACACGGCGGCGCGGAGUUGUCCGCGGGCGGGUCGCGCGUCCCUGAGCGUGCUCGCGGGGUGCUCCAGGUCCAGCGGUCAGAGCCUGGCCUCGUCCUGAGACGCCGGUCCGGACCGGCUGUCAGAAGCCGGGGAGAAUCACUUGUCAAAGAUGAAUGACUUGCGUCCCGGCAAGGCGUCAGGAAGCAGAGUCUCCAGAGAGGCGUUGCUACGUCUGAUCGGAACGUAGCCCCGUGGUCGGUCGGGGUAGCCCGAGUACUUUGCGCGGAGCGCGUGCGCGUGGCGCAGAGUUGGGGAAGUGGGAUCGGAGAAGCGAGAAGGGCAGUGGUCCUGGGAGGUCUGACUCGCAAGGAAGUCUCUAGGUUCCCUGGAGUCCGGGGCCCAAGUCUCUAUUUCCAGGUGUUCCCUGGAUCAAGCCAGCCGCCGAAUGUUCUCAGGCUCUCGAAGACGGCUCCCAGACCGCUCAGAUCUUGGGACUCAGGCAGGCCCCCCUCUGACCACUGGAAGCUUAUUGUCCACUGCUCCGUUCUGUCAGCUCUCCUCCUGCCUCCACUUCCUAUCAGGUUCACCUGGUGUCCACACUCCAACUCUGGGUGCUGCUGUGGGUUGUGGCCCAGGACUAAGCCCCAUCCCUUUGCAGUAUCCCUGAGGAUACUUACUUGCUAUUUCCACAGCCUACAAAUCUCCCCUAAUCCUCAGGAAUAUUCCUGGUCUACUGCUUUGGACUGAGAGGGUGUGGGAAAAAAAACUGUCAAGCUUAAGCAUUGUCCGGGAAACUAAGCAAGACCUGAAACCGUGAGGUUCUAAGUCCAGGAAAGGCUGGGGGUGGGGUGGAGGGCGGGAUUGCAGAGCCCAGCUGGAACAGACUUGUCUGCUUAAUGCUAUCACAGUGGCCAAAGCACACUAGCUCAAGGCCUUCCUUAUUAGCUUUCCUCCCUUUUCAUCAGGCAGAAUGGGUGUUACAAUGAGAUGCUUAGCCUCACCAUGUCCAUGCCAGUGCUUACCGUGGGCCACCAUGACCCCUGGAACGUAUCUACCAAGGGCGCCUGUUUAGAUGCACCAGCAGCAUGGAAGUUCUGAGACCAUCAGAGGAGCUGUUCCUGGAGAGACGCCUUAGGCAGGCUGGUGGGACUCAGAUCCCAGGUGGACCAUGAGUGGAGCAGGACGCGGGAACAACAGCACAGCUAACCCUUCUUUGAUCUCCAGCGCUUGUCUCUAAAGACUACACAUUCUAGCUGUUGCACUCUGUUUUCCUACCUGGAGCCUGCAGUCCUAAAAGGCUCAGUCUCUGCUCCGUGUGGCCCUGACUAAAGUCCACUUGUCUGCCUGCUCCUCCAGACCUCAUGACUGGGACUUUGUAAAAAGCUGUUGCCCAGGCCCAUUAGCCAAAAACGAAAAAAAAAAAUUCCUAAGACCCCCUACUAUGGUUAGGGUCCCCUAGGGGCCAGGCUCAUUGCUGUUUCCAUGGAGAUGUGUGCACUCUGACCCCAGUCUUUCUCUGUCCCAGGCCAAAUAAAGAGGGCUUCCAAGUGGAAAUGCAGCUUGGGUUGCCCCUCCUCCCAAGCCCUAGGUAGCCUCUAUCUCCAAAAGGGGGGUUGGGGGAAGGCCCUGAGCCCAGGCAGAAGCAAUGAAGGACUUCCUACCCCCCCACCUCCCCAGAACUGAUCAUUCUGCUUUCUAGACUGGAGAGUGACUUUCUCCAGACCAAGGCUCCAUCUGAGGUCCCACCCAGGCAAGGGACACUAGGGUUCUAUGGGAACACUCUUGGAUUCCUGGGCAGCUCUGCAAGGCUUUUCCACUUACUGAAGGUCCCUAUCAGACAGAAGAACACAACACGUGACAGAACUUUGGCUGAGAACCCCUUUUCACACAUACAAGUCCUAGCUCAGAGGCCUGAGAUAUCUGCCAUUGGGAUUCAGUAGUUGCUUCCAGACACAAACCACAGCCCAGAACAUCUGCAGACCCAUCUCUUACCAAGGUUGCUUCCUAGGGUGAUCACCCAACCCAUCAGAGGCCCUGGGAGAACAAUCUCCUGGGUGUCACACAGAAAAAACUAAACUGCUCUCCCAUUCAUCUAGGUCUUACAUGAGAGACUGCCUUUUUUAUUUCCAAGAUGUAUUUUAUUCUCUUAGACAGUCAUUGUGACACAUGCACUUAGGAAGCAGAGACAAGCGGAUCUCUGUGAGUUCAAGACCAGCCCGGUCUACAGAUAGGAAUGACGUUCACUGGAGUUAAAGAUUGCAGGUAACCAUGAGAUAGCUGGAAAGAGACAGGAAGGCCCUGCCCAGAGCAUCCUACACCAACAUACCCAGGUGUGGAGCAUUAGCCUCCACAACUGUAAACCAGUAAAUUUUUAAGAAACAAGUGAUGGAAAACCAGAUUCCAAAUCCAAAGAUAAUACUGCCAUCUGGAGAUGAACACCUGGAGCUGGGAUCCAGCUGACUUUGCAGAGCUAGUUCCAAGACGUCCAGGGCUGUCACACAGAGAAAUCGUGUCUCAAAAGAAUUUUUUAGCCGGGCAACAAUGGCAUACACCUUUAAUCCCAGCACUCAGGGAGGCAGAGGCCGGUGGUUCUCUGUGAGUUCAAGUUCAGCCUGGUCUACAGAGUGAGUUUCAGGAUAGUCAGAGAUACACAGAGAAACCCUGCUUGAAAAAACAAAAAAGGAAAAACCUCUUAAUUUUAUUUUUUUAAUUAUGUGUAUGUCUGUAGGUAUGUGCGUGUGAGUGCAGGUGUCAGAAGUGUCAGGCCACCAGUAAUUAAACAUUUCUUUGGCCCGCCAGCUUGCAAAUAAUGACAUGGAGACUUAUUAUGAAAGCUCGGCCUUAGCUUAAGCUUACCACACUAGCUCUUAUACCACCUUAACCCUUAUUUUCAUUAAUCUACAUUCUACCAUGUGGUUUUUACCUCUCUCCCACUCUGUGUAUCCAGCUCAUUCCAAGUCUCCAUGGUGCCUCCUCCAGUAGGCCUCAAUUGUCCUCUUCCUCUCUGCGCCCAAAGGACCACCUCUCUCUCCUGCCUAGGUAUUGGCCAUUCAGCUUAUUAUUACACCAGUCAAAGAAAUACCUCUUCACAGUGUACAAAUAUUCCACAACAUUUUCCCUUUUCUCUAAAUAAAACAGUAAGACUUG